ACUGACUGAUUUCUCUUCAUAACACACAAAUCUUUUACCUUUUACUGAGGACUUCUGUGGAGAGUGACUCCAACGAGUUCAGCCUGUUUUUGGCAGGCUUUGCUGUUUGUUGAAAGCAA
rnacentral:snRNA from 1 species